rnacentral:misc_RNA from 1 species
AUGCGAUAAGUAAUGUGAAUUGCAGAAUUCAGUGAAUCAUCGAAUCUUUGAACGCACAUUGCGCCCGCCAGUAUUCUGGCGGGCAUGCCUGUCCGAGCGUCAUUUCAACCAUCAAGCCCCGGGCUUGUGUUGGGGACCUGCGGCUGUCCGCAGGCCCUGAAAACCAGUGGCGGGCUCGCUGUCACCCCGAGCGUAGUAGUAUUAUCUCGCUAAGGGCGUGCUGCGGGUUCCGGCCGUUAAACAGCCUUUAUAACCCAAGGUUGACCUCGGAUCAGGUAGGAAGACCCGCUGAACUUAA